GAAGGCCGCGUUGCUAAUACCUCGGCUACCCUAAGUCUUAGGGUUGCACGAGCUCAUGAACCGCAGGCAAUUGUUCACGUUCAUAUUGAUACUUGAAACUGAAACACAAUGUAUACAUGAGAAAAAUAAAUUUCUACAGUAUUAUCACAAAAUCCUGGUGCAACAGCCUACAGAAAUUUGUGAUAGUUAAUAGCAGUUGUUGCCAAAAGUUGAAAAUUUGUUGCCUAAGAGUAUACGCAACAAAUUGCAGUCAUUGCCACUUGUUAGACCUUAAUAACUAAAUCAAUAAAAUACAUGACUAUAUAUGGACUGACCUGGAGCUGGAGAUGCUGAAAGCUUUGGUUGCUUGAACCACAAGGAAAUCUAGCCUUUAUGUGCCAUAGACUCAAUGGGGAGUUUGUAAGCUUUGAUGCGUAUACUAUAUGUGCAGGGAUCCCUUGUAUUUAUAGUGGCAUAUAUCAUAGAGUUCCGUCCAUAAAAGAACCCACAAUUCACCUGGAAAGCCAAUAACUUGAUCCACA
rnacentral:lncRNA from 1 species